UUUUAUGGAGAGUUUGAUCCUGGCUCAGGAUGAACGCUGGCGGCGUGCCUAAUACAUGCAAGUCGAGCGAACAGACGAGGAGCUUGCUCCUCUGACGUUAGCGGCGGACGGGUGAGUAACACGUGGAUAACCUACCUAUAAGACUGGGAUAACUUCGGGAAACCGGAGCUAAUACCGGAUAAUAUAUUGAACCGCAUGGUUCAAUAGUGAAAGACGGUUUUGCUGUCACUUAUAGAUGGAUCCGCGCCGCAUUAGCUAGUUGGUAAGGUAACGGCUUACCAAGGCAACGAUGCGUAGCCGACCUGAGAGGGUGAUCGGCCACACUGGAACUGAGACACGGUCCAGACUCCUACGGGAGGCAGCAGUAGGGAA
rnacentral:rRNA from 1 species